UACGGAGGGUGCAAGCGUUAAUCGGAAUUACUGGGCGUAAAGCGUGCGCAGGCGGGUCUUUAAGUCAGGGGGGAAAUCCUGGAGCUCAACUCCAGAACUGCCUUUGAUACUGAGGAUCUUGAGUUCGGGAGAGGUGAGUGGAACUGCGAGUGUAGAGGUGAAAUUCGUAGAUAUUCGCAAGAACACCAGUGGCGAAGGCGGCUCACUGGCCCGAUACUGACGCUGAGGCACGAAAGCGUGGGGAGCAAACAGG
rnacentral:rRNA from 1 species